CGCUUAGAUGUUCUGGGCCGCACGCGUGCUACACUGAGUGGAUCAGCGGGUCAGGUUGCGCGAAAGCGUUUCCUAAUCUUUAAAUCCGCUCGUGAUGGGGAUUGACGGUUGCAAUUUUCUGUCAUGAACGAGGAAUACCUUGUAAGCGCGGGUCAUCAUCCCGCGCUGAAUACGUCCCUGCCCUUUGUACACACCGCCCGUCGCUCCUACCGAUUGAGUGGUCCGGUGAGGCUUUGGGAUCUGAGCGGAAAGAGCGUUUCGCUGUUUCUGCUCGGAAAACUCAGUCGAACCUUAUCAUUUAGAGGAAGGAGAAGUCGUAACA
rnacentral:rRNA from 1 species